rnacentral:rRNA from 1 species
AGCAGCCGCGGUAAUUCCAGCUCCAAUAGCGUAUAUUAAAGUUGUUGCAGUUAAAAAGCUCGUAGUUGAAUUUCGGGACCAAUAUGUCAGUCGUGCCUCGGUACGCACUGGCUUAUUGGUUUCUCCUUUCUGAAGAACCAUGAUGUCAUUCAUUUGGUGUCGUGGGGAAUCAGGACUGUUACUUUGAAAAAAUUAGAGUGUUUAAAGCAGGCUCACGCUUGAAUACAUUAGCAUGGAAUAAUGAAAUAGGACGUUUGAUUCUAUUUUGUUGGUUUCUAGGAUCGACGUAAUGAUUAAUAGGGAUAGCUGGGGGCAUUAGUAUUCAAUUGUCAGAGGUGAAAUUCUUGGAUUUAUUGAAGACUAACUACUGCGAAAGCAUUUGCCAAGGAUGUUUUCAUUAAUCAAGAACGAAAGUUAGGGGAUCGAAGACGAUCAGAUACCGUCGUAGUC